UCCUCCCAUAUUUAACCACCGGAACUCCAAUGGCAUUCGACAUAGUUCCAGCAGGAGGAGGAAGGGCAUUCCACAUCGCGCUCCCUUUUGAUAAUGUCAAGCUCAACAAUCGACAAAUCUCUCUCCAUAUCGUCACAAACUAGUGUACUGAACAAGAAAAAAAAAAAAAGGUAUAGAAACAAAGACAAAAGUUGGAUGCUAUAUGUCAAGUUAGAAAUAUUAAAUGAUAUUACCAAAGACAACAAUGAAGAAACAAAAAAAGGAAUAAAUGGGUAGCAAAUGGAGAAAGGAGAAUUAUGUAUAGUUGGUAGUGUCUUGUGUAAAUAUAAUACAGUAGUUUCAGCUAGCCGUUCUCGGAAAGAUAGGGAGGGGGAUCUUUCUCUAUGUUCUUUUGAUCUUAAAGAAGAUAUUAUGAUAUGGUGGAAUAUGUUGUGAUGAUGGUAUAUACAUGUAUAUAAUUGUACAGGUGGUGUUUUAUACAUAUAAUAAAAGUGGUUGUAUACAUUAUAUAUACUACUUGAUUUAUUCAGUUUGUUGGCAGCAAUAUUCAAACCAGCUGAUAAGCACAAGCAAAAUUGGGGCAAAUAUGUGUACAUUUUGAAAGGCUUAGUUGAUUCGAGUAUGGUGCUCUGCUAACCUGGUAUUGAAUUUAGAGUUCCUUUUGAAGAAUAGACUCCCCUUCUGAAUCCAAGCUUACCGUGUAGUUCCAAUUUUCCCCACGGGUUAUACGCCAUCUAUUCAUGCUUGGAAUCGGGCUGUACACUUUCAAGCAACCUCGGU
rnacentral:lncRNA from 1 species